AUUGAACGCUGGCGGCAGGCCUAACACAUGCAAGUCGAGCGAGCGGCGGACGGGUGAGUAAUGUCUGGGAAACUUCCUGCUGGAGGGGGGUAAAUACUGGAAACGGUAGCUAAUACCGCAUACCAUCAGAUGUGCCCAGGUGGGAUUAGCUAGUAGGUGGGGUAACGGCUCACCGUGGCGACGAUCCCUAGCUGGUCUGAGAGGAUGACGAGCCAAACUGGAACUGAGACACGGUCCAGACUCCUACGGGAGGCAGCAGUGGGGAAUAUUGCACAAUGGGCGCAAGCCGGAUGCAGCCAUGCCGCGUGUGUGAAGAAGGCUUUCGGGUUGUAAAGCACUUUCAGCGGGGAGGCGUUAACCGCAGAAGAAGCACCGGCUAACUCCGUGCCAGCCGCCGCGGUAAUAC
rnacentral:rRNA from 1 species